GAGAAGCUUCGACUAAGGUUCGACUCGAGCGUAGCGAGAGAACGUUGCCGCAGGCAACGGCCCGAAGGGCGA
rnacentral:sRNA from 1 species